rnacentral:rRNA from 1 species
AUUGAACGCUGGCGGCAGGCCUAACACAUGCAAGUCGAGCGGAUGAAGGGAGCUUGCUCCUGGAUUCAGCGGCGGACGGGUGAGUAAUGCCUAGGAAUCUGCCUGGUAGUGGGGGAUAACGUCCGGAAACGGGCGCUAAUACCGCAUACGUCCUGAGGGAGCAAGUGGGGGAUCUUCGGACCUCACGCUAUCAGAUGAGCCUAGGUCGGAUGAGCUAGUUGGUGGGGUAAAGGCCUACCAAGGCGACGAUCCGUAACUGGUCUGAGAGGAUGAUCAGUCACACUGGAACUGAGACACGGUCCAGACUCCUACGGGAGGCAGCAGUGGGGAAUAUUGGACAAUGGGGGAGAGCCUGAUCCAGCCAUGCCGCGUGUGGGAAGAAGGUCUUCUGAUUGUAAAGCACUUUAAGUUGGGAGGAAGUGCAGUAAGUUAAUACCUGGCUGUUUUGACGUUACCGACAGAAUAAGCACCGGCUAACUUCGUG